UACGGAGGGUGCGAGCGUUGUCCGGAAUCACUGGGCGUAAAGGGCGCGUAGGCGGCUCGUGAAGUCAGUGGUGAAAGCCCUGGGCUCAACCCAGGAAGUGCACUCGAAACUGUCAGGCUUGAAUAUGGAAGAGGGUCGCGGAAUUCCCGGUGUAGAGGUGAAAUUCGUAGAUAUCGGGAGGAACACCAGUGGCGAAGGCGGCGACCUGGGCCAAUAUUGACGCUGAGGUGCGAAAGCGCGGGGAGCAAACAGG
rnacentral:rRNA from 1 species